CCUUAACAUUGGCUUAGUGGUAGAGCGUCGCUCUUGUAAAGCGAAGGUCGGUGGUUCGAUUCCGUCAAUAGGCA